GAAUCCGCUAAGGAGUGUGUAACAACUCACCUGCCGAAUGAAUUAGCCCUGAAAAUGGAUGGCGCUGAAGCGGGUAGCCGACACCACGCCGUCUGGACAAAGUGGUCUUUCAGAUGAGUAGGAGGGCGUGGCGGUUGUAUCGAAGCGUGGAUGCGAAUCUGCGUGGAACAGCCGCUAGUGCAGAUCUUGGUGGUAGUAGCAAAUAUUCAAGCGAGAUCCUUGAAGGGCGAAGCGGGGAAGGGUUCCACGCGAACAUUGAUUGGGCGUGGGUGAGUCGUUCCUAAGCCGCGUGGCAAUAGCUAAUUACCGGCGAAAGGGAAGCAGGUUGACAUUCCUGCACACGGAUGUGGAGACGGCGACGAUACAUGAGGCGAUCACGCUGGCGGUGGCGCUGGGCAGAGUUGUCUUUUCUGUUUGACCAUUGAAUACUUGCUGUGUGGAAUCCGCUUGUCGGGAGAAACACGCAGGUACGGGCAGAGCGCCGGGGCUUUUCCGGCGUCCAGCUCGCCACCGACGGCCCUUGAAAAAUUGCCUGCUGAACAACACUCUGUUGUUGUGAGAUCCACGCCGUGGCGUACCGAUAACCGCAUCAGGUCCCCAAGGUGAACAGCCUCUGCUCAAUAUGAACAAUGCAGGUAAGGGAAGUCGGCA
rnacentral:rRNA from 1 species